rnacentral:rRNA from 1 species
GAUGAACGCUGGCGGCGUGCCUAAUACAUGCAAGUCGAGCGAACAGACGAGGAGCUUGCUCCUUUGACGUUAGCGGCGGACGGGUGAGUAACACGUGGGUAACCUACCUAUAAGACUGGGAUAACUUCGGGAAACCGGAGCUAAUACCGGAUAAUAUUUCGAACCGCAUGGUUCGAUAGUGAAAGAUGGCUUUGCUAUCACUUAUAGAUGGACCUGCGCCGUAUUAGCUAGUUGGUAAGGUAACGGCUUACCAAGGCAACGAUACGUAGCCGACCUGAGAGGGUGAUCGGCCACACUGGAACUGAGACACGGUCCAGACUCCUACGGGAGGCAGCAGUAGGGAAUCUUCCGCAAUGGGCGAAAGCCUGACGGAGCAACGCCGCGUGAGUGAUGAAGGUCUUCGGAUCGUAAAACUCUGUUAUUAGGGAAGAACACACGUGUAAGUAACUGUGCACGUCUUGACGGUACCUAAUCAGAAAGCCACGGCUAACUACGUGCCAGCAGCCGCGGUAAUACGUAGGUGGCAAGCGUUAUCCGGAAUUAUUGGGCGUAAAGCGCGCGUAGGCUGGUUUUUUAAGUCUGACGUGAAAGCCCACGGCUCAACCGUGGAGGGUCAUUGGAAACUGGAAAACUUGAGUGCAGAAGAGGAAAGUGGAAUUCCAUGUGUAGCGGUGAAAUGCGCAGAGAUAUGGAGGAACACCAGUGGCGAAGGCGACUUUCUGGUCUGUAACUGACGCUGAUGUGCGAAAGCGUGGGGAUCAAACAGGAUUAGAUACCCUGGUAGUCCACGCCGUAAACGAUGAGUGCUAAGUGUUAGGGGGUUUCCGCCCCUUAGUGCUGCAGCUAACGCAUUAAGCACUCCGCCUGGGGAGUACGACCGCAAGGUUGAAACUCAAAGGAAUUGACGGGGACCCGCACAAGCGGUGGAGCAUGUGGUUCAAUUCGAAGCAACGCGAAGAACCUUACCAAAUCUUGACAUCCUUUGACCCUUCUAGAGAUAGAAGUUUCCCCUUCGGGGGACAAAGUGACAGGUGGUGCAUGGUUGUCGUCAGCUCGUGUCGUGAGAUGUUGGGUUAAGUCCCGCAACGAGCGCAACCCUUAAGCUUAGUUGCCAUCAUUAAGUUGGGCACUCUAAGUUGACUGCCGGUGACAAACCGGAGGAAGGUGGGGAUGACGUCAAAUCAUCAUGCCCCUUAUGAUUUGGGCUACACACGUGCUACAAUGGACAAUACAAAGGGCAGCGAAACCGCGAGGUCAAGCAAAUCCCAUAAAGUUGUUCUCAGUUCGGAUUGUAGUCUGCAACUCGACUACAUGAAGCUGGAAUCGCUAGUAAUCGUAGAUCAGCAUGCUACGGUGAAUACGUUCCCGGGUCU